UCUCCUGGAAACGGGUGGUAAUGCCGGAUGCUCCAGUUGAUCGCAUGGUCUUCUGGGAAAGCUUUCGCGGUAUGGGAUGGGGUCGCGUCCUAUCAGCUUGACGGCGGGGUAACGGCCCACCGUGGCUUCGACGGGUAGCCGGCCUGAGAGGGCGACCGGCCACAUUGGGACUGAGAUACGGCCCAGACUCCUACGGGAGGCAGCAGUGGGGAAUAUUGCACAAUGGGCGCAAGCCUGAUGCAGCGACGCCGCGUGAGGGAUGGAGGCCUUCGGGUUGUAAACCUCUUUUAUCGGGGAGCAAGCGAGAGUGAGUUUACCCGUUGAAUAAGCACCGGCUAACUACGUGCCAGCAGCCGCGGUAAUACGUAGGGUGCAAGCGUUAUCCGGAAUUAUUGGGCGUAAAGGGCUCGUAGGCGGUUCGUCGCGUCCGGUGUGAAAGUCCAUCGCUUAACGGUGGAUCCGCGCCGGGUACGGGCGGGCUUGAGUGCGGUAGGGGAGACUGGAAUUCCCGGUGUAACGGUGGAAUGUGUAGAUAUCGGGAAGAACACCACCCGUUUCCA
rnacentral:rRNA from 1 species